CACUCAAACUAGUUUCACAACAGUGGUCCGCCUCUUCAUAGUGGCAUUCCUCAAGGCAAGGUUCCUCGUCCACUCGACUUUCAUGGAAUCCAUGUCGACUGGACACCCUUCUCCAAGUGUCUGUGAAAGAACAUUCUCGGCAGAAGCAAGCAACUGAACCUUUCCCCGAAAAAUUGAGCGGAGAAAG